GACGAACGCUGGCGGCGUGCCUAAUACAUGCAAGUCGAACGCAGUUGGGACGGGUGAGUGACACGUGGGUAACCUCCCAUCAGAGGGGAUAACACUUGGAAACAGGUGCUAAACCGAUACUGAUGGAUGGAACCGCGGUGCAUUAGCUAGUGGGUGAGGUAACGGCGCACCAAGGCCACGAUUCAAAGCGGACCUGAGCGGGUGAUAGGCCACACUGGGACUGAGACACGGCCCAGAUUCCUACGGGAGCGAGCCGUAGGGAAUCUUCGGAAAUGGACGAAAGUCUGACCGAGCAACGCCGCGUGAGUGAAGACGGUUUUCGGAUCGUAAAACUCUGUUGUUAGAGAAGCGGUAUCUAACCAGAAAGCCACGGCUAACUCCGUGCCAGCAGCCGCGGUAAUUC
rnacentral:rRNA from 1 species